UGCAGCAUUAGGAAGGUUAAGAACCAUGAGUCCAAGAGAUCUUCUGGAUUUCCAAGGCUAUUAACUCAUUUUCAUUUGUGCUUAUAGCUUAACAUAUGGGUCACAGCAUUGGUCCUGGCAUGCUGCAGUCAAAGACGGAGAGCUCUCAUUAUAUAGGCUGUAAGCUUUGGCUCAUUUAUCUUCAGAAUUUAUGGUCAGAAACAAAGAACCCUUGGCUUUCUUUAUUGAUGAUGUCAGACAUGCAAGCAUCUGAUUCUCAGUAUCUCUGCUCUCCUCCACAACGCCUUGCUCCUGAGUGUGAUACCAAGCUAGGCUCGGCACUGAGAAGAUGCCCAGUAACCACAGGUAUACCUGUGUGUCCUCCUGACCUAUUAUUAUCCAGUGUUAUUGUUUCCUUGGCAUUGAAACCUUCUCACCUGGGGAGAGUGUGGGGCUCACAAGGUACAUGAAACUGACAAGAAACUAACAACGUUCAAAGUCCUUCAUUGAGGUUAUGUGAGUAGUAACAUUCUCGUUGGGGGAUAGCGAGUCUUCAAUGGUGUAGCUGUCUGCAAGUUGCAGUUCGCUGGCCGUUCAGCCAUUCCAGGCAGGCUUUUCAGGGGCACUGCUUCUGUAAGUACUCAUAGUAAAUAUAAUGGUUCCACAAGUUGGACUUAGAUACAGUCAUCUAUCUGCUCUGUGUUACUUUCUUUACCUGGGGAGAUGAAAAGUGAGCUUCCAGGAAAAGUCACGCAACAAGGGGACAACACAGAGCCACAGUGCACCCAUUAUGUCCCACAUAGUAGCAGGCCCCCUCCCACAACUCUUUUACUAAAUCCAGCCUCUUACCCUGUGAGGCAGAUCCCUUUUUAAUCCAUUAGCUAAUGAGAAAAUAGAGGCUCUGGGAAGCAAACCCACAUGUUUAUAAAGGGCUGCAGAAGCUAUUGCAGAAGCUAGAACAGAGGUUUGUCAUCAUGUCUACCCAGCUGCACAGCCCUGUGGGGCAAAUUUCUAUGCACUGUUGUUUCUACAACUUCUGAUGAGGAAGAUGCUCAGGUAGGGUGCCCUACACAGUAUCUGGGGGAGAGGUGUGUGGUAGGAAGGAGUCAGAGGCUUAUCUGUGAAGUACUGUUCUCUCCUCACUCCUACAAUCUCAGUCCCGUGCUUGGAGAAGUCAUGUCUAUAUCACCCCAGAAAACAUGGACUCCAGGUCAAAAACAGGAACUCUACAGAAACAGUAGUAACUGGAAUAUAGAUUCCACGCCUAGGCCUCCCAGGCCACAGUUCCCACAGUGUGACACCAAGAGGUAACAUAUGCCUCGAUGUUGCUGGUGGAUUGCAUUCUAGAAGAACUCGGGAAAGAAAACGCAUUUGAAAAAUGACAGUAAGUUCCUGCUCUUGCUCUACUACCAAAGCUGGGAAUGAAUCUUCCCUUCCAUCCCAAGGGAAAUGCCACCUCUGUCUUCUGAGCUACUAGAUAGAUAUCCAGGGGAAGAGUUUGUGACGAAGACCGUCAUGCCUCUGCUUACAAGAUACAUGAGAACAUGAGAAAGUUCUGUGGCAUUGUUUUCCUGUAAUGACAAGACAUGGGUAAUAUGCUGUAUAAGUGAAGUAGGUGGCAGGACAGAAUGACCUCACAUUUAUAAAGCAUUGCUUUUUGUAUAUUUAUUUUGAAAGGGGUAGAAGAACAUUUUCAGGCUUACAUUUUUUUUAAAACAAAACCUACUUUUAAUAGGGGUUCGCAAACCCUUCUAGCCAACCAUCCAAAGGUAGGGGAGAGAGGAUGAGAAAUAGACACGGGGACGUGGACCUGUUUAGAAGUAGUUCUUUGGGGGCAAUUCCAAUCUCUGUGGUCAGGAGACUAGCAGUCCAGUUUAGUAGCUUUAGGAUAGCAAACACAAAUCAGCAGUGGUGAUAUGAUGCGACAGAAACAGCCAAGCCUCCAUUGAGUCAGCAGGAGUCAGCAAGAGUGACCAGAACCAACCAGGACACCAGGAGAAGUUCCCUGCUGUGCCUAUCUCAACAAAGCGAAGAUCAGCCAAGACUCAAGACCAACAAAGCAUCGCAAGGCGAGCUAUGCAAGUGCCUGUCACUGUCCGUUGAGUUCUAUUUAAACUCUCUCCAAACAUCACAUGUCCUCCUGCAGGUCUUCACAAAACACCACAUGAGUCUGUACCACAUGACAUGACCGAAAACUUCUACUUCAAACAUUCAUCCAGAUGUCAACAGAGAAGAGGCAACUUUUAUUGGUUUUCAGUUUAAAUUUGUAACAUAUAGUACUAGUGAUAAUUUUUAAACAAAAAAUACUCCUAAUUUGCAACUGAAUAACUGGGAGGGCCCUUACAGUUCUAUUGCUGACUUAUGCAUGGGCAUAUAACACAGGUCAGCUUAACACUAUACUUUAUCUUCUUUCAGGAGACCUGCCUCUGAUGCUGAUGCCGGUGCCAAUGCCAGUGCCGAUGCUGAGAAUGACAAAAGUGGCACAUGGACAGCUCUCUCCUUACUCAUCCUCACCAAGUACAGCAUAGGGAUUAGUUUUAUGGUUCCUCCACUGCUGCACCAGCUCCAGUGGAGCCUGACUGACAUGAAACAAUCGUGGUCCGCAGGCCAGAGACAUCUGUUCCUCAAAACUUGGUCUCCUGGAAACACUUGGCCACUUCCUGCUGGACUUUCUGCCUAGCUGAUUGGAAUAGUCUGUCCUACAGGCGUGAGCAGAGAGAUACGUGCCGUUUGUCUGGGUUCCCACACAGCAGACACUCUGGAUUUAAGUGUCAGAAGCCCACACUCCUUAGCUGAAGGCCCAUGAGGCUACUGCAGGACCCUGAAGCAGCAGCCCUCAAAUAAGUCCUGAACAAGGAAGGGGGAUGAAGUCAGAGCCUCCACAGCCCACUCUUGGACUCCUUCAUUAUCCACAAUAUUCUUCUUUGUCGUUUUGUCUCAUGGGUUAGGAAGAUGGGGCAUGGAGUUGGCUUGGGUCACUGCUGUCUACUCACCUACAGCCAGGAAAGCAAGGCCACAUUAUAGACAUGUGGCUGCUAGGGGUCAUGCU
rnacentral:sRNA from 1 species